rnacentral:lncRNA from 1 species
ACCUUCACCACAAAUGAUCUAUUCUUCAUACCUGAGGUGCCGAGCUUUCCGAAUGAGUCUUUGUUCUUUUAUUUGAAUCUUUUCUUCAAAACUUCCGCGAUCAACUCUUCAAGACUCCAUUCAACUUUACGAAAUCCGCCAACCUAUAAAAUCCUUAACAUCAUCUACUAUGAUCCACAAUAUGGCAACAUGCAUAGUUCAUCCAACAUAAUCUACAAUAUGUCAACAUACAUGUUUUAUCUAACAUAUUCCAAUG